AGUGACGUACGGGUGCGUAACACGUAUGCAACCUACCCUUUACAGGAGUAUAGCUCGGGGAAACUCGAAUUAACCCUCCAUAAUAUAUUUGGAUGGCAUCAUUUGAAUAUUAAAUCGCAAGAGGUAAAGGAUGGGCAUGCGUCUGAUUAGUUAGUUGGCGGGGUAAUGGCCCACCAAGACGAUGAUCAGUAGGGGAACUGAGAGGUUGAUCCCCCACACUGGCACUGAGAUACGGGCCAGACUCCUACGGGAGGCAGCAGUAGGGAAUAUUGGUCAAUGGAUGGAAGUCUGAACCAGCCAUGCCGCGUGCAGGAAGAAGGCCUUCUGGGUUGUAAACUGCUUUUGCCAGGGGAUAAAAAGACCAUGCGUGGUUAAUUGAAGGUACCUGGUGAAUAAGCCACGGCUAACUACGUGCCAGCAGCCGCGGUAAUACGUAGGUGGCAAGCGUUGUCCGGAUUUAUUGGGUUUAAAGGGUGCGUAGGCGGCUUAUUAAGUCAGUGGUGAAAUAUCGCAGCUCAACUGUGAGGGUGCCAUUGAUACUGAUGAGCUUGAGUGGAGUCGAGGUAGGCGGAAUUGACGGUGUAGCGGUGAAAUGCUUAGAUAUCGUCAAGAACACCGAUAGUGAAGACAGCUUACUAGACUUCAACUGACGCUGAGGCACGAAAGUGUGGGGAUCAAACAGGAUUAGAUACCCUGGUAGUCCACACUGU
rnacentral:rRNA from 1 species